CAGAGUUGUGGCCUCGGUUCAUUGUCCCACAAUGCACCAGUGGAAUUUGAGCCAAUACUCGAAGGAAAUUCUCUUCUAAAGUUGCAGUUUGACAGUAACAGUUGGUGCACAUAUGGCAUAAGAAUCAAGAUUCAUAAUCCUUUAUUAAUCCCACACUGGGGACAUUUACACUGCUGCAGCAGCAAGGUGUAAGAGGAAAAGUAAGACGCAUACUGUCCUGUUAGUAUAAAACACGUAUGUUGGUUUUUGUAUUUGUGUGUACUAACUACAUAAACAGUAAAAGUAUGUAGUCAGUAUACAAUUUAUACAAUUCAUAUGGGGACGGCCUAGUAUGGAACACGGCUCAAUGAAGGAGAUCCCAACAGUAAGGAAAUGGGACUGUAUAACCAAAGACUGUACAGAAAGAGAUGGAAACGGUGAGAAUAAAGGACUGUUUGGCUAUUUCGUGACUACAUGUGUAUGCGGUUCCCUUACGGUGCUAAAUGUUAGACGCUGUUCAUCCCCAAACUUGCCUGAGUAGUUAAUCUUAAUGUUGCACACCACUAAUGGUUAACUAUUGAACAAUUCUUGCGUCUAUCUUGCAAACCACAGCCAACUGCAGCUGCGCUCACUGCGCUGCCUCCCUCCCUCCUUCCCUCCAUUCUAGCGGUCUACUGUACUUCUACUAGGUCACGUGAUUUCCUAUCAACAACUCUGUUGUCAAGUGCUGCCUUUACAUACCGCCGGACAAACAUAAAUCCCCACUGUAGGAGACGUAAAAGGGGGGUGCAACUCUGAUGUUUUCUGUUAGCGUUAACCGAAAUCGGGAAAAUUUGAAGGUGUCAUGUCACCACCUGUCUGCUGGAGAAUGUAUGCUGAUUGUUAUGUUUUAUAAUUAUUUGUAAUUGUGUAAAAUACUUGAACAAUAGC